rnacentral:rRNA from 1 species
AUUGAACGCUGGCGGCAUGCUUUACACAUGCAAGUCGAACGGUAACAGGCCGCAAGGUGCUGACGAGUGGCGAACGGGCGAGUAAUGCAUCGGAACGUGCCCAGUCGUGGGGGAUAACUACUCGAAAGAGUAGCUAAUACCGCAUACGAUCUAUGGAUGAAAGCGGGGGACCGUAAGGCCUCGCGCGAUUGGAGCGGCCGAUGUCAGAUUAGGUAGUUGGUGGGGUAAAGGCUCACCAAGCCAACGAUCUGUAGCUGGUCUGAGAGGACGACCAGCCACACUGGGACUGAAACACGGCCCAGACUCCUACGGGAGGCAGCAGAGGGGAAUUUUGGACAAUGGACGCAAGCCUGAUCCAGCAAUGCCGCGUGCAGGAAGAAGGCCUUCGGGCUGUAAACUGCUUUUGUACGGAACGAAACGGCUCUGGUUAAUACCCGGGGCUAAUGACGGUACCGUAAGAAUAAGCACCGGCUAACUACGUG